rnacentral:tRNA from 1 species
GGUGGUUCAGUGGUAGAGUGCUUGCCUUGCAUGCAGGAGGCCCUGGGUUCGAUUCCUCAGCACCA